GUGGAACCAAAAAUGUAAAAAAAAAAAAACUCAUUGCCAUAAUCUAAUUGACUGCAUUAGAAGAAGAUUCUUCAAUACUGUUCCUCAGUUUGAUGUCCAUCUUCUUGGUUCUCUUCAGUUGUUUCACGACACCAAUUCGCUUGGAGGAAUAAGGAGAAGGAAUC